rnacentral:misc_RNA from 1 species
GAUGAAGAACGCAGCGAAAUGCGAUAAGUAGUGUGAAUUGCAGAAUUCAGUGAAUCAUCGAAUCUUUGAACGCACAUUGCGCCCCUUGGUAUUCCAUGGGGCAUGCCUGUUCGAGCGUCAUUUGUACCUUCAAGCUUUGCUUGGUGUUGGGUGUUUGUCCUGAGGGACUCGCCUUAAAGUAAUUGGCAGCCAGUGUUUGGUUUUGAAGCGCAGCACAAGUCGCGAUUCAAAGCUAUACGCCCGCUUCCACAAGCCUUUUUCACUUUUGACCUCGGAUCAGGUAGGGAUACCCGCUGAACUUAAGCAUAUCAAUACGCGGAGGA